GUCUAUGGCCAUGCCACCUUGAACAAGCCCGAUUCCAUCUGACCUCAAAAGCUAAGCCCAGGCAGGCCUGGUUAGUACUUGGAUGGGAGACCA
rnacentral:rRNA from 1 species